rnacentral:rRNA from 1 species
AAUGAACGCUGGCGGCAGGCCUAACACAUGCAAGUCGAGCGGAGCGGCGGAAGGGUGAGUAAUGCCUAGGAAUCAGCCUGGUGGUGGGGGAUACAGUCCGGGAACGGGAGCUAAUACCGCAUACUAUAGGAUGAGCUUCGGUCGGAUUAGCUAGGUGGUGGGGUAAAGGCCUACCAAGGCGACGAUCCGUAACUGGUCUGAGAGGAUGAUCAGUCACACUGGAACUGAGACACGGUCCAGACUCCUACGGGAGGCAGCAGUGGGGAAGAUUGGACAAUGGGCGAAAGCCUGAUCCAGCCAUGCCGCGUGUGUGAAGAAGGUCUUCGGAUUGUAAAGCACUUUAAGUUGGGAGGCGUUACCAACAGAAUAAGCACCGGCUAACUUCGUGCCAGCAGCCGCGGUAAUAC